rnacentral:lncRNA from 10 species
GACUGCGUGGGCGGAACCAAGAGCCUGGCGGGGGGUUCUCCUGAAUGGCGGUUCUCCCAGAACCUCCAGAGAUGUCACAGGCCCAGCACUGUGGCUCGUGGCUGACCGCGCCCUGGAGGGUCUCGCUGUGUUUAUCCUUGUGAGGUCCUUCUACAGAGCUUUCAAGGAAGACAGAGUUCAGCCUGUUUAUUGGGAAGACUUUAAUCCUGCUCAAGACAUCUACUGUGUCACCGUACCACUGUGGCCCAGCGCCUGGUGGAGUGAAUCCAGACCCCCAGGGGUGUCCCCUCCCCGCCUUUCUCCUGGUGUCUAGGGGCACCCAGAAACCCUCACCCCAGAUUAGACCAGCUCGUUGGCAACAUCCCUGAGACAGAAGAGAGACACAGAGAGAAGAGGCACAGAGGAGCCGGCCAUGGAGCGAUACAGCAGAAGCUGGAGGCGACGGGAGGAUCCUGGCCCAGAGCCUCGGGAGGGAGUGGGGGCCGUGUUCCAGAAGCCUGAGAGUCCUGCGUGUUGUUCUGAGCCCCUAAGGCUGGGGUAGCUUGUUCCAGCAGUCAUGGGAAACUGACACAUCCCAAACACAGCAGCACG